AGUUGACACCAAGAGGUCACUCCCCUGAGGAGCCGGCUGCAGGGCGGUGAUUCGCCCCCGGGAUGGUGGCGGCGAUUCCGUGCGCCUUCCUGCAGUUGGACAUCAGUUAUAUUUCAGGCUUUCAAAGUAAACGACGAACUCAGCACUUUGGCAGAGUCCAAAAUCCGCCAGCGAACUUGGGUGCUAGAGUUCGGCGGGAAGAAAAGCGCCCGGGCUGCGCCGACCGCCGGCCCCGAGCCGCCGCGGGCUCCGAGGAGUCGGCCGAGCUGCUCCCGCGCCCUGGCCGGACGUUUGAAACUAUUGCUUUGCUGAAAACAUCUGACUGCCAGGCUAGGAUGUGACACUUAAGGGACUUACCAAUUUGGGAUUCUUCCAGGAGCUGAAAACUGAUUGCAAAUAUGAAACAGAUUUCACUACAGGACUUGAACCCUACAUUAAAAAACAACAAGCUCCCCAAAAUAAUUGAAAAAGAUCUUCACCAAAGAGUAGCUGCAAUGUGAAUGGCAGGAUAUGAAGCAAGUAAGAGCAAUGUGGGGAAUCCUGGAAGAGCCCUUCUGUGAAACAACUUGACUGACUAGCAAGGAGCCUGUUUUGUUUUCCAGCUUGAAAGUCACUUUUUGAUUUGUUCUACACACUUCGUCACGUGUUCACUGCACAGGAGAGGUCGACUGGCACUCUGCACUGAGCAGAAUCAUAUGUUACCCUCGCCCUGCCAUUUCCAUCAUUCCACUGUGCUCUCCCUGAACCAGAUGGUGAAAAGAUUAUCUUAAGCUUGGAAUUAAGUGAUGAAAGGGACCUUCGAAAUUAUCAACUCUAAAUACUUCUUUACAGGAAAAUUGAAAGCAGUUAAGAACCUGCCCCCUACCGUGGAGUUCUUGGUGCCGUGAGUUGGAGUUCUUGGUGCCUGGGUGCGUCCCCAAGGCCACUGGUCUUCAGAUCUUUCUUACUUGAGAAGAACGCCUCCGCCUCCUGGCUCUCCCACCAGUGGUAUUGCCACCACCACACACCAGCAUAAAGCACAGAUUGCUGCCCAGCUCCUUGGAGAGGGGCCAGUGCAUUUGUCAGGAAUUGAAAAGUUUUGGAGCCAGUUCGAGGACUUUCUCCUGCACAAAGUGUUGGCUGGAAGCAUGAUUAUCUCACACAGAGCGUUGGAAUUACUUCAUGAUGAUUUCAAAGAAAAUUUUCUUCUCUAAACACUCUUAUCCCAAGGGCAUCCUAAAGUUCCUCUGGAAUGCAUUGGGUGGGAGAGAAAGUUCUAUGUCAACUCUUCUGGCAGAGGGAAAAGCUGACCGAGGAAGUCAAAAUGAAAGAAAGAAGCAGACAGGACUGAGGCUCCCUGAGAUGCAGAAACUGAGGCACAGAGCAAGGAUGUGCCACAGCAGAAGCAAGUUGUGUUGGCAGUAGGAAACAAGAUAAAGAGAAGAACUCAAAGAAUUGAGAGAAGGCUUUGAACAUGAUGAUGGAGAAAUAACACUCUUGGGAGAAAUGAAGAUACUUUCUCCUCCCUGGUUUACCUGAGUUUCCAGCACCCAGUGAUAAGAAAGGAUGGCAUUAGUGAUGUGUACACCUGCAGUGAUAGCUUCACCUUUCUAAAGCAGAUGCCGUGGUAGACAUUUUGCCAGCCCUCCUUUCACUAUACACACAGCUUGGUGUACGCUGGCAGACUUUUGACCUAAUUUCUUAACCCUCAAAUAUUCCAAGACAGAACAAAGCACACAACAAAACCAGAAUGAGGCCGGGCAAAGUGGCUCAUGCCCGUAAUCCCAGCACUUUGGGAGGCUAAGGGGUGGGCAGAUCACUUGAGGUCAGGAGUUUGAGACCAGCCUAGGCAACAUGGUGAAACCCAGUCUCUACUGAAAAUACAAAAAUCAGCCGGGUGUGGUGGCAAAUGCCUGUAAUCCCAGCUACUGGGGAGGCUGAGACACAAGAAUCACUUGAACCCAGGAGGGGGAGUUUGCAGUGAGCCGAGAUUGUGCCACUGCAUGCCAGUCUGAACAACAGAGCAAGACUCUGUCACAAAAACAAACAAAAAACUGAAUGAAUGGAAGCAGAUAAGUGCAGAGAGAAACACUGAUUUACCUUCAGAAAGAUAAAAAAGUAGUAUAUUGAUAUACUUGUAUAUUGCUAUCUACUAGUAUAGCUUCAGUUGGUGUAUGAGUAUAGAACUAUUGGGUUGUUCUUUAUGUGAUUACUCCUUCCCAGUUUUAGUAAAGUAUUCCAAUUUGAGGGAAAUUCUUUCAUUUGUCAAUAAAAUAAAAAGAGGUAAGUUUUAAAAUCUGUAUAGUUCUUCCUUCAUGCUAGUUGCCUCUCUUUUUGAUAUUUCUUCUAUAAAAAUCUUUUCUUACAUUCAGUUUUCAUUGUAUAGAUCAUGAAGGAACCAUAGUGAUUAUCAAAGAUCAGCCGAUAAGUUCAAGGCAGAGUUCCACCUUUCCCCAUGAAGCCCUUCCAGACUUGUUUACAUGUAACACCCUUGAAGGCAAGACUCAUGUCUAUGCUAUCUUUGCUGCUAUUUGGCACGUAUUAGGUGUAAGGGCAAUUAGACCAUAUCAAUUAAUGAUCAGUAAGAAUGGAUAAAGUAGAUGUUUUUGUGAGCCUCUCAAAGAAGAUGUAUAGAAUAUUUUGGAAAUGGGCCCAAUUUGUUUCUAAAGGAAAAUUUACUUUCAAAUUAAAAAAAAAAAAUCACUCAAAUGAGAUUUUGGGGGAUUUCAUAUGAUUAACUCUUUACAUUAUCUUGUGGUAAUUAUACAGAAAUCUGUAUUUAUGUAAACACAGUAAAUGCAUCAUAACACUAGAAUAAGUAUACAAAUACUGCAUGUCAAAUUAGGUUAUAAUCACUUUCAAGGGACGUGAUUUCCUAGCUAAACAGAUUCGUUUACAUUUUGCAAAAUAAAAAAUAAGUGAAAAUAACUAUAUAAAAUCAGGCUUACAGCUGGACAGAUCUUCUUGGCAAUGGUCCAGACACUGAGUAGGGAAAAGCCCCUCCAGCUGAGGAACGUUCAGGACGCUCAGGACGACUUUGCAGGCGCGGCCGGGAGAGAGGCCAUUUUUGGGGUUGCCUUGACUGUGCACCCUGUUCCUGGCUACCUAUGGGGAGAUAAGCUGCAUUCACAUAUCAGAUGAGACUCUUUUUGUGAGAGGUCUGGGGUGGGAUGUGGGAAGUGGAGUGAAAACCUGCUUAGUAGGGGAGGAAAAAAACAAGCAAUCCAACACUUCACCUUUAGGUAAUAAACAUAAUAGAAAAAGUCAGGAAUUCUCUAACUAAAAAGCAGACAGUGGAAGCUAGCAUCGGACUCACUGAAUUUUAGAAUCAGGGUCUGUGUACCAUGGAUUAUCUGGCCCUGCCCUUGUCACUGGAUGAGAAGAUUCUGGCUAUAGGGCAAGAAGCAGUGCUUGGACCGAGAUCCAGAAUGUUACCCUCAAAUCUGAAGCUUAUUUAUGAGAUAAAUAAAGCUCAUAUUUUCAAGAGAGAUAAUUAUUUUAAAACUUCUCAUUUCAAUGUGUACCUUAAAAAAAUAAAUACAUUUUGGGCCAGGUGCGAUGGUUCAUGCCUGUAAUCCCAGCACUUUGGGAGGCCGAGGUGGGCAGAUCAUGAGGUCAGUUUGAGACCAGCCUGGCCAACAUAGUGAAACUCCGUCUCUACUAAAAAUAAAAAUAAAAAAAUUAGCUGGGCAUAGUGGCACGUACCUGUAGUCCCAGCUACUUAGGAGGCUGAAGCAGGAGAAUCGCUUGAACCCAUGAGGCAGAGGUUGUGGUGAGCCCAAAUUGCGCCACUGCACUCCAGCCUGGGCAACAGAGCAAGACUCCAUCUCAAAAAACCAAUCAACCAACCAACCAACAAAAAACAUUUCACAUCUCCCUGACGUAGCCAACAUUUUCUCCAACAUUCUCUUAUUUUGAUGGCAGAAGGGCAUAACUGUAAAUCUCAGUUUUUAUAUGGUAUUGUAUAAUAUAGUGGCAUCCUUUGCGGCCAGUUGAUUGUGAAGAGCAGUUUGCCUUUACUUAGCUUCCAUGAACAUUAGCUUUAAAUGCUCAUUGACAUUAAUGAGAGCCAGUUUGCUAAAUCUGUGUCUCCUUCAUGUUCAUUUGCUACUUAGUUUUGUUGAUUCCAAGAAGUCACUAAUUUUUUUAAAUCAUAGAUUCUGAUUUCGAGGUAGCUUCAUUUUUCUAGUGUUGAGUAAAAUGUGUGUGUGUGUGUGCUUUAGUUUAAUUAAUACUAAUUUUUAUUCAAAAUAUAUUUGUUGAGCACUUACUCUCUGCUGUGGCUGGGCAUACAUUACUUUCUUUCCACAGUCCGUUGGUUGAAUUGUCCUGAGCAGGGGUUGACAAAUGAUGGCCUGUGAGCCAAAUCUACCCCACUGCCUGUUUUUGUAAAUAAAGCUUUAUCAGAACAUAGUCACACUCAUUUGUUUGCACAUCAUCUGUAGCUGUUUUUGCACACAUGGCAGGGUUGAGUAGCUGUGAUGGAAAUUAUAUGGACCAAAAGACAAAAGUAUUUGCUAUCUGGCCUGCAACAAAAAUAUUUGCCAAUUUGUGGCCCUGAGUAUGAACCUUUAAUUACCUAGCUGGUUUGAUAAAAGAGCUAAA
rnacentral:lncRNA from 10 species